CCCCUGAUAACUUGGUUGGUAAAGAAUCUGCUUGCAAUGCAGAAGACCCUGGUUAGACUCCUGGGUUGGGAA
rfam:Ovis aries breed Texel chromosome 2, whole genome shotgun sequence.